GACGAACGCUGGCGGCGUGCUUAACACAUGCAAGUCGAACGGAAAGGCCCUGCUUUUGUGGGGUGCUCGAGUGGCGAACGGGUGAGUAACACGUGAGUAACCUGCCCUUGACUUUGGGAUAACUUCAGGAAACUGGGGCUAAUACCGGAUAGGAGCUCCUGCUGCAUGGUGGGGGUUGGAAAGUUUCGGAGGUUGGGGAUGGACUCGCGGCUUAUCAGCUUGUUGGUGGGGUAGUGGCUUACCAAGGCUUUGCCGGGUAGCCGGCCUGAGAGGGUGACCGGCCACAUUGGGACUGAGAUACGGCCCAGACUCCUACGGGAGGCAGCAGUGGGGAAUAUUGCACAAUGGGCGGAAGCCUGAUGCAGCAACGCCGCAUGCGGGAUGACGGCCUUCGGGUUGUAAACCGCUUUCGCCUGUGACGAAGCGUGAGUGACGGUAAUGGGUAAAGAAGCACCGGCUAACUACGUG
rnacentral:rRNA from 1 species